UACGGGGGGGGGCAAGCGUUGUUCGGAAUUACUGGGCGUAAAGGGCUCGUAGGCGGCCAACUAAGUCAGACGUGAAAUCCCCAGGCUCAACCUGGGAACUGCGUCUGAUACUGGAUGGCUUGAAUCCGGGAGAGGGAUGCAGAAUUCCAGGUGUAGCGGUGAAAUGCGUAGAUAUCUGGAGGAAUACCGGUGGCGAAGGCGGCAUCCUGGACCGGCAUUGACGCUGAGGAGCGAAAGCCAGGGGAGCAAACAGG
rnacentral:rRNA from 1 species